GACGAACGCUGGCGGCGUGCUUAACACAUGCAAGUCGAACGGAAAGGCCCUGCUUUUGUGGGGUGCUCGAGUGGCGAACGGGUGAGUAACACGUGAGUAUCCUGCCCUUGUCUUUGGGAUAACUUCAGGAAACUGGGGCUAAUACCGGAUAGGAGCUCCUGCUGCAUGGUGGGGGUUGGAAAGUUUCGGCGGUUGGGGAUGGACUCGCGGCUUAUCAGCUUGUUGGUGUGGUAGUGGCUUACCAAGGCUUUGACGGGUAGCCUGCCUGAGAGGGUGACCGGCCACAUUGGGACUGAGGUACGGCCCAGACUCCUACGGGAGGCAGCAGUGGGGAAUAUUGCACAAUGGGCGGAAGCCUGAUGCAGCAACGCCGCGUGCGGGAUGACGGCCUUCGGGUUGUAAACCGCUUUCGCCUGUGACGAAGCGUGAGUGACGGUAAUGGGUAAAGAAGCACCGGCUAACUACGUG
rnacentral:rRNA from 1 species